GAUGAACGCUGGCGGCGUGCCUAAUACAUGCAAGUCGAGCGAACGGACGAUAAUCUUUCUUUUCUGAUUUUAUCGGCGGACGUGUUAGUAACACGUGUAUAACCUACCUAUUUUACUUGUAUAACUUCGUGAAACCGGAGCUAAUACCGGAUAAUAUUUUGAACCUCAUUGUUCAAUAGUUAAUUUCGUUCUUGCUGUCUCUUAUAGAUUGAUCCGCGCUGCAUUAGCUAGUUGGUAAGGUAACGGCUUACCAAGGCAACGAUGCAUAGCCGACCUGAGAGGGUGAUCGGCCACACUGGAAGUGAGACAGGGACAAGACGAAUACGGGAGGAAGCAGAAGGGAAUCUUCCGAAAUGGGCGAAAGCAUGACGGAGCAAAGCCGCGUGAGUGAUGAAGGACUUAGGAUCGUAAAACAAUGUUAUUAGGGAAGAAAAUAUGUGUAAGUAACAGUGCACAGAUUGACGGUAACUAAUCAGAAAGCAACGGCUAACUACGUG
rnacentral:rRNA from 1 species